GCCGGGAUGGCGGAAUUGGUAGACGCAGCGGACUCAAAAUCCGCCGAGGGCAACCUCUUGGGGGUUCGAGUCCCCCUCCCGGUACCA
rnacentral:tRNA from 1 species